UGGCAUACCUCUUCAGUCUUGUGUCAAUGCUUGUAUUGCAUUGAAUGCACGGUGGGUUUCUUGUGUUGCAUGCCUAAUUAAUGGUAUCGCUUGAUGAAUUGGUAUUCUUUUCGUCUUGUGUCGCCUAUGCGAUGUGAGAUGAACCUUGAAGCAACCUUUGUGAUCCACUCUUUUGAUGCAUACGCAUUGAUUUUGUGGCCCAUUGAGUGUUGCUUGGUCUCAUGGAUAUGGAACCUGGUGUGGGCAUGGAAUCUUACUGGUUCCUUGUUUGCCCAAGUUUAGCUUUUCUAAAACGAUUGUCUAUCAUGUGUUAACGUGGUAGACAACUUCGAAUAUGAAUGCUACCUGGUUGAUCCUGCCAGUAGUCAUAUGCUUGUCUCAAAGAUUAAGCCAU
rnacentral:misc_RNA from 1 species